rnacentral:rRNA from 1 species
CACCGCAAGGGCGAAGCCUGAGCAGCCCUGCCGCGCGAAUGAUGAAGGCCCCAGGACCGUAAAACCCCCCCCCGGGGACGAUAAUGACGGUACCCGGAGAAGAAGCCCCGGCUAACCCCGUGCCAGCAGCCGCGGUAAUACGAAGGGGGCCAGCGUUGCUCGGAAUCACUGGGCGUAAAGGGCGCGUAGGCGGACAUUUAAGUCAGGGGUGAAAUCCCAGAGCUCAACUCUGGAACUGCCUUUGAUACUGGGUGUCUUGAGUGUGAGAGAGGUAUGUGGAACUCCGAGUGUAGAGGUGAAAUUCGUAGAUAUUCGGAAGAACACCGGUGGCGAAGGCGACAUACUGGCUCAUUACUGACGCUGAGGCGCGAAAG